GUACGAUCUUGACGCCAAAUUUCUGUCUAUUCUUUUUUACAAGAGGGACCAACCGAAUGGUCGAUAAUUCAGUCAUCUCAUUAAAACAGUCAAAUUGUUGUAACUUGUAAUGUUUCUAAGAGUACCACUGCCCCGUUUCACAUUGGCUUCUACAAAUCGUUUCCAUGCCUUUAGCGGCCGAUUUGCCUCGCCCAAUUCAGA
rnacentral:misc_RNA from 1 species